rnacentral:rRNA from 1 species
UGGGGAAUAUUGGGCAAUGGGCGCAAGCCUGACCCAGCCAUGCCGCGUGGGUGAAGAAGGUCUUAGGAUUGUAAAGCCCUUUCAGCAGGGAAGAUGAUGACGGUACCUGCAGAAGAAGCCCCGGCUAACUCCGUGCCAGCAGCCGCGGUAAUACGGAGGGGGCUAGCGUUGUUCGGAAUUACUGGGCGUAAAGGGCACGUAGGCGGCCCGUUUAGUCAGAGGUGAAAUCCCCGAGCUCAACUUGGGAAUUGCCUUUGAUACUGGCGGGCUUGAGUCCGGGAGAGGAUAGUGGAAUUCCCAGUGUAGAGGUGAAAUUCGUAGAUAUUGGGAAGAACACCAGUGGCGAAGGCGGCUAUCUGGACCGGUACUGACGCUGAGGUGCGAAAGCGUGGGGAGCAAACAGGAUUAGAUACCCCCGUAGUCC